AUGUGUGUGUGUGUGUGUGUGUGUGUGUGGGUGUGUGAGCGGGGAGCGGCUCCUCUUCCCGGUAGGGAGUGAAACUACUUGUUCAGCUCUUAUUUAUCGCUGGAAGGAACUGCUCCUUCCCUGCAUGAUAACAGAACACAGAACAAGUCUUGUAACAAACAACAGUCCGAGUCAUCAAAAAGUCACCAUGCAGUAUUCUAUCAUCGCAGGCUUAUAUCAUUCAAAGUUUAUACUGACUACUAAGUACAAUUUUCCAUUGACAAAGUCUUGUACAUUUAAAAUAUUUUUUGCUCUAAAAAUCCAACCACAGUUUGUAAAUAUGUUCAUGUUUCCUCCUCCAGAUGCUCCAGAGCUUCCCUCUGUGUCAGUGAGUCCCUCUGCUGAGAUAGUGGAGGGCAGUUCAGUGACUCUGACCUGUAGCAGUGAUGCUAACCCAGCAGCUAAUUACACCUGGUACAAGGAGGAUGAAGACUCCUCUAGAACAUCAGGACACAACUUCACCAUCAGCAACAUCAGACCUGAGCACAGUGGGAGUUAUUACUGUGUGGCCCACAACAAUAGAGGGACUCAUAACUCCACCUUACAGCUGACUGUUGUAGCAGGAGCAGGAACAUUAGAAGCUGCUGGAGUAACUGCUGCUGUUCUCCUGCCUGUCAUAUUCUUCUCUGUCUUCCUGUGGAUUCA